CACUUAAAUAUGAUCACAAAUCAUUUAGUUUCCCAUGACUUCACUGUGUAAGGUGGAGAGCCUUCGUCAGCGCUUAGUUAUUCAAUCCGUUCCACUUGUUGAUAUAGAGAACGCCCACAUUACUGAAAAUCCAGUCCGCGUUUUCACUGCUGCCAGCAGCAGUACCUACAUGCUCCCUCACACAGUCACAGCGAGACGGUCACAUUACGAGCCAGGCAGAGAGCAGCAUCAUGGACAUAUGCAAGUUUUUCAAAAAAGUAAGUCUUUAUAGCUGCUGGUAGUAACAAUAAGCUCCAGCUAACAGCUAAUAGUCCCAUGUAAUUUAUAAACCAGGUGCUUCCCAUUUUGAUAAAUAAAAACCUGGCUAUCACACCAAGUUAAAUUGUUAACAUGAUGUUGAUUUCUGUCACUUGUUUUAGCUCUGAAAAAAAACGAGCUGAGCUCAUUCACGUAUGAUUAUCAUCAGUGGAAAAUAAUAAUGCACUAAUAAUACUCAAACCACCAUCCCCACUGACCUGUAGGAGUUAGGACAGAGGAGCACAGCAAGUGAGAGGGGAGACACCUCUACUGAAGAG